rnacentral:lncRNA from 1 species
UACACUUUAGAUCAAAGUGUAGCUCCUGAGAGUGUGAGGGAUGCAGUGGGGAGGAAGGUGAAGCUGUCACUGAGGAAGAGAGUCAAACUGGAGAUCAAAGGGGACAAGAUGGAGAACAGAGUCCUGGUGGAACAUUCCUUUAAUUAUCUGGAGAUCCAGGGAAUCUCUUGCAACAAGCCAACCCAGCUGCUCAUAGAGUAUGAGCGUGGCUCGUUCUCUCUGAAGCUGCCCUCCACAGAGGAGGUGGACGAGGUGGUGGCUCACAUAGGAAACUGUCUGCUGAGGAUAUGUCCCGGACUGCCACCCAGUAAAGUGAUGAAGAAGCUUUGCAUGGAGCCUCCAGACAGACUGCCCUCCCUGCAGACUCUGUGGGAAAACAACAAGCUGGCCGAACCUGGACCCUGUGGUGGAUUUUCUCAGAUGUACAGGUGUGUUUGUGACUGGCUCGGGCUGCCUCACAGAGAAGAGGUGCAGUGGGACGUAGACACCAUCUAUUUGACACAAGACUCUAGAGAACUUAACCUGCAAGACUUCAGCCAUUUGGAGAACAGGGAUCUGGUAGCUAUAAUAGCAGUUUUGGAGUUUAACCAGUGGUUCACCAAGCUCUCAACCAAGGACUACAAACUGUCUGCAGAUGUGUGUGAGCAGAUACUUCGAGUGGUGUCCCGAUCCAGUCGACUGGAAGAGUUGGUUCUGGACAACGCAGGACUUAAAACUGAUUUUGCCCAGAAGCUAGCAGUUGCCCUGUCCCACAACCCCAGCUCAGGACUCACCACCAUAAAUCUUGCCAACAACCCACUGGAGGACAGAGGCGUUUCCUCUCUGGGUGCUCAGUUUGCCAAACUUCGCAUGGGGCUCAAGCAUUUAAACUUUUCCAAAACCUCACUGUCGCCCAAAGGGGUGAAUAGCCUUUGCCAGUCACUGAGUGCCAACCCAUCCAUCCCCAGCAGCCUCGUCCAUCUGGACCUCUCAGGGAAUAUGCUCAGAGGAGACGACAUGCAGCAUUUUUACCACUUCCUUGGUCAACCCAACAGCCUGAUAACCCUUGACCUCUCUAACACUGACUGCUCAUUGGACCAGGUGAUGCAUGGUGACAUUAUUGUAUUUCUUUUCUGUCUCUGCAGGAAAGGAAAAGAGGUGCCUCCUUCAUUCAAACACUUCUUCAGCAGUGCGGCUUCUCUCGGCUACAUCAACGUGUCAGGAACCAAGCUGCCGCCAGAGGCCCUCAAGGCACUCCUGCUUGGAUUGGCCAGUAACCCCAGUCUGAAGGAUGUGUCUCUGGACCUUAGCUGCUGUGAGUUGAGGUCCGGAGGGUCUCAGAUCCUUGAAGGCUGCAUUGCUGAGAUCCCUAACAUCUCAAGCCUAGAUAUCUCUGAUAAUGGCCUGGACUCAGACCUGUCCACUCUCCUUGUUUGGUUAGCCAAGAAUCGCUCCAUCAGACACCUGUCUCUGGGCAAGAACUUCAACAACAUCAAAUCCAAAAACCUUGCUCCAGUGUUGGACAGCCUGGUUCACAUGAUUCAAGAGGAGGAGUCGCCCCUCACCUCUCUGUCUCUAGCAGACUCCAGACUAAAGACUGAUCUGACUAUCGUUCUCAACGCCCUCGGCAGCAACUCUUCCCUCACAAGGCUCGACAUCAGCGGGAACGCCAUGGGUGACAUGGGAGCCAAGAUGCUCGCCAAGGCGCUGCAGAUCAACUCCAAACUCAGGACUGUGAUCUGGGAUAAGAACAACACCAGCCCUCAGGGUCUACAGGAUGUAGCAGCCGCUCUUGAGAAAAACUACACCAUUCGUUUCAUGCCCAUCCCCAUCAUCGAUGCCUCCCAGGCUCUGAAGGCCAGCCCGGAGAAAACAGAGGACGCUCUGCUAAAGAUUGAGAAUUAUUUGUACAGAAACCAUGAAACCAGAAAAUACCUGCAGGAGCAGGCUUAUCGGCUUCAGCAGGGUAUCGUCACCACAACCACACAGCAGAUGAUGGAGAGGAUUUGUGUUAAGGUGCAGGACCACCUGAAUUCUCUGAGGAACUCAGAGACAGACGCCAUCUUGGAGGAUGUCAGGGCAGCAGAGAACCUUAUCAAAGAUGCCAGGAACUCUAAAACGCUGCUGCCCAACCUCUACCACCUUGGAUCAGCAUCCAGAGAGGACUUGAACAGUUCAUCAGUGGGUCCCAUCCAGGAGAAGCUGGAGUCCAUGGCUGGAGAGGUGACUUCUGUCAUGGACAAACAAUUGCAGAGUCUGUUGGAGUCCAUGGUGGAUACAGCAGAAUCUCUCUGUCCUCAUGUCAUAAAGAGGAGUAAUCUUCGUCCUGAGCUGAUAAAGGCCAGUUCAGCUAAGAUGGUUGUACCUAAAAGCUUUGUCACCAAAACUCUUGUGGAGCAGUCGGGGGUGGAUAUUAUCAACAAGAUCAGUGAGGUGAAACUGAGUUUAGCGUCCUUUCUGUCUGAUCGUAUUGUGGAUGAGAUUUUGGAGGCUCUCUCCACGUCACAACAAACACUGGCUGACCACCUGGUACGUCGAGGUCGUCCCUUGGUACAACAAGAGUCUGUGGACCUGGAUGUCCCGGAGGAGAAGAUUCCUAAACGGGCUUCGGAUGAGAUACUUGAGGCGGAGAGGCUUGAGGAUCUGGAAACAUGCAUGAUGACUCCUAAAUCUAAAAGGAAAAGCAUCCAUAGCCGAAUGCUGCGGCCAGUGUCUCGUGCUUUUGAGAUGGAGUUUGACCUAGACAAGGCUCUGGAGGACGUCCCUGUACAUGUGGACGACACUUCCACUUCAUCUCAGACCCCCCCUACGCCGUCUUUGGCCCUGCCUAAACUGGAGCAACGUCCGCCGGGAACCAUGGUAGAGCUGCCAUCUGAGGAGGAGAAGAAGCUGCAGCACUUCACCAAACUGCGACCUCGGAGGAACAAAAAAACUCAUUCCAGCAAAGUACCUCAAAUCAACAGCACUCCGUCUCAAGAUGGGGAACAGAAUGGCCUCAUGGGAAGGGUGGAUGAGGGUGUAGAUGAGUUUUUUUCUAAAAAAGUCACCAAGAUUGAUUCCAAGCGUUCCCUGAAAAGCUCAGAAUCUCAGGAUGGAGAAAAGAAGAAGAAAGGAGGAUUUCUAAACCUCAUCAAACGGUCCUCCAAAUCUGAUAAAUCAGAUAACACAUCCUUAUUGACAUUUUGUUUCCACUGCAGGGACGCCUCCAUUCGCUCUCAACCCACAGACUACAGCAGCAGCUCAGACCGGUCAGAGGAGCUGAGGACACCGGACUCUAUAGACGAACCGUGGGAGGGUUCAGACGGCAGGGGGAGUCCUCAGGGAGGGAGGCGGUACCCCGGCAUGCAAAUGAUGGGCAGCGGCCUUCUGGCAGAGAUGAAAGCCAAACAGGAGAGGAGAGCACACAAGGUAAAGGAUGUGACAGUAGCUGAUGUUCAAAUUCUUUGUCAUGAUUCACAGCAUGACAUAUUAAAUACAUACUUCAACACAAAGCCAUCAGAAGCACUCACAGCUCAAAAGUAUGUAAGAAUAAAAGGCACAUUUUAA